UUUCUAGUGAUGAAGGCAAUUCACAUUCUACACAAGUUUCUGAUGUCAUCCUGCAUAUUCUACCAAGGUGUUCAGAAAAUUGAGUUUCUGGUUCGAGGUAAUGGUAAAGGAAAGAAGCCCUCCUAAAAGAGUAUGAAGACCUUUGGUAAUGAUGCAAGGUGCCCAGUCCACUAAGGGGAGUAGAGGCGACAUCCUGGUCCAACAGUAGCUUUG